CAAACGGUCCGGGUUAAUACCCUGGACUAAUGACGGUACCUGAAGAAUAAGCACCGGCUAACUACGUGCCAGCAGCCGCGGUAAUACGUAGGGUGCAAGCGUUAAUCGGAAUUACUGGGCGUAAAGCGUGCGCAGGCGGUUAUGCAAGACAGAUGUGAAAUCCCCGGGCUCAACCUGGGAACUGCAUUUGUGACUGCAUGACUUGAGUACGGUAGAGGGGGAUGGAAUUCCGUGUGUAGCAGUGAAAUGCGUAGAUAUGCGGAGGAACACCGAUGGCGAAGGCAAUCCCCUGGACCUGUACUGACGCUCAUGCACGAAAGCGUGGGGAGCAAACAGGAUUAGAUACCCUGGUAGUCCACGCCCUAAACGAUGUCAACUGGUUGUUGGGAGGGUUUCUUCUCAGUAACGAAGCUAACGCG
rnacentral:rRNA from 1 species